UACGGAGGGGACUAGCGUUGUUCGGAAUUACUGGGCGGUAAAGCGCACGUAGGCGGAUUUGUAAGUCAGGGGUGAAAUCCCGGGGCUCAACCUCGGAACUGCCUUUGAUACUGCAAAUCUCGAGUCCGGAAGAGGUGAGUGGAAUUCCUAGUGUAGAGGUGAAAUUCGAUAGAUAUUAGGAAGAACACCAGUGGCGAAGGCGGCUCACUGGUCCGGUACUGACGCUGAGGUGCGAAAGCGAUGGGGAGCAACAGGGAU
rnacentral:rRNA from 1 species